rnacentral:lncRNA from 1 species
AGAGCACUGUUGACAAUGUCUGCCUUCACUUGGAAUUCAGCACCUGCUUUCAGUAUAAACCCCUGCAUUUCACUAAAACUGAGCAGACUGCUGGUUUAAAAAAGAGAGGUCCAUCCAGCAGGGAUGAUGCUUUUCCUCGUUGAAAGAGGACAUUCACCUAAUGGGAGACCUGGAGUCAGAAUCUUUCUGAUGUGUGACUUGGCACAGUAACACAAUGCAGGAUGCUGGUGUGUUAAUAAAAAUAAAAAUUGCAUCGCCUACCUCAGAGUCGACAACAAUGUCAAGGAGUUAAUAGUCUUGGCAACACAGAGGCCACUGGACAGAGGCAUAACCUUGCGUGGCAGCUGCACGGGAAUUGGAUUUGGCUCAGGUGUUUCAGAUGACUAAGUUGGGAGCAUUUGACAAUUUUAGAUGUGGGAUGAAAAUUGCCUUAUCUAAGACAUAGGGCACCUGCAGAAGUAAAGAGAAACAGAACAAAGGGGACCACUCUUGGUAUAGAAGUUCAUCUCGUCGGGAGCAUCUGUGGUUCUUUUAUAAGCAAUGUACAUUCUACAAUAGAGGCAGACCCAGAAAUAAUUCAGAUAUUGGAGUUAGAAGAUCAGGAUUCUAAAAAAACCAAAAGAUCCUGCCUUACUAUGCACCUAUGGCCCUUCAAAGGCGAGAGUAGAAUCUGCUAUGAUUUAGAAGCAAGCAAUAAAAAGUACACAUCAGGUGAGUGGAUGCUAGCUAAGACCUUGGGCUUUGGGGUCAGACAGGCCUGGGUUUAAAUCCUGGCCCUGUCAUUCUGGGGAAACAUGUUUCUGCUUUCUCCUAUAUGAAAUAGAGGCAGUGGGUAUCCUGAACAUGUCACCUUUACUUGUCCAGCUUGUCAGUUAGGGUUUGGUUAGGGAAACAGAGCUGCUGUAAACAUUAUGGGAAUAAGGGAUUUUAUUCAGAAUUGGAGCCUGCACAGAUGUAGAAGGAGGCAUGAAGAGGGUAUUGGAGGAUUGCCCACUAUGCAGUCUGCAUCCUGAGUCUGUGGUGAGGCUGGACACGUUCAAGCUUACAGGAGAACUGGAGAAAGCAAGCAACACAGCGGUGGAAGUGAGACCACUGAAGCAGGGACAAGAGUGGAGGAGACAAACUGGACUCGGAACAAACUGGGAGCCUCUGCAUCCAUCCGUAACUGUCUGGCCGUGACAGUGGUUAGAGAGGAGUGGCUUCUGUGAAACUCUCACAAUCUCAAAUCUCCCACAAGUGCCUCUUUCAGCUAACUCUAAACUGGUACCAUAGAGGAAAUGGAUUCUGAAAACUUGGUCUCCAACCUUAGACAAAUUGAAUAAUUAAUAUGUCCUCUCCUGCUUCUUCUGUAACUGAAUUUGCAUUGGGAAGCAGGCCUGUCACUCUCAGACUUUGUGGUUUGAGUAGGGCUCACUUCAGCACCACCUUUUCCUCUUCUCAGCCCCACGGACUGGCAUGAGACUCAGGCCUGGCCAACUGAAUGUCACACACCUAUGACCAUCAGUUGGCUCAGAGAUGGACUCAGGACACCAUCACAGCCAAUGAAACCCUGUUAGGGAAAUUUGUCAGAACCAUACAAAGAAAUAGCUCCACUUUUCCAUAGAGAUGAGACAUAAGCCUGGACUAACUGGUGUCCAAUUUGCCAUCAAGAGAGCAUCUGAGAAGACAGAGGAAAACUGGGGAAAGCGAAGUCUAAGGAAGGUGAGUAAGGACAAGUCCAGUUGAUAUUACAUGAAUCACCUGGACCUGGAAAUCAAGGCAUUGCUGGAUUCAAGGCCAAGAAAAAUUGGAAGCUGGCUUGAAUCAGGUUCUAUCACUUGCAGUUGAAAAGGUCCAGACUAAUAUGAUAACAAAGGAGCAAGUAAG